GGCCUUCACCCCACUGUUGGCACAACGCGUGAAGCAUACUACUUUUAAAAAAAGUACUGUACGUUGUACCAUACAAUUUUUAUUUAUCUAUUCCUUUAAAAGGUCCUAACCCAAACCGUGAAAAAGACCAAGAACAAAAGUAUACCAAAAGUAAAUAGGAUGACAAGUGUUUCCACACACUUUCGGCCACGUUGUAUGAAGCAUCUGAAUGGAUUUUCAAGAUAAAAGUUUCCCACCCUUACUAGAUAGAUGGUUUUAACGCAACUUACCUAGGAUGCUUUUAUUUUGACGACGUUGUGUUGUUGACCACCUGGCAGCGCACUAGCUCAUCUCGUCUCUGGUCGGUUUUGUCGGGGAGAGACCACAGCUACUGGCCACUUCCGAGUGCUUUUUCAGGGUCAAGAUCUCCUCGGAUGUUUUAAAUUGCAUCCGGCCCAAGAUUGAGGAGGGUUGUGGUUACACACCCCCCAAAUUUCUCAGGUUCAUAAAAGUAAUAGCCUAUUCUUCCCUAAGAACCUCAAACAGGUGAUGGACCUAAGGGACCAGGGGGGCUGUCACUUGCAUGUCAUAAACGUGAGGAGGACAUGGCACUGAAGGCAUACAGAAAUAUGCAGAAAAUGCAGCUUCUGCUUACCAGAAGAUACUGUAUAUGGACACGAUUGAAAUUUCUCAUCUUCCAUGCAAGUGCAAAUGGACUGUACCCUUUACCGCCUAGUAAGGACUUUGUAUUUCUGUGUUGUUUUGUGCGCUUAGGACAGCUAUUUGAUUUUUUUGGGGGGGUUUUUUGGUUUUUAUGAAAGAUGUAUCCAUUAAA